UUAAUUAAAAAUAAAUAAAUAAACAUAAAAAUCAGUUUCAAAAAUUUAUUGACUCGUUAAAAUAUACAUGUGGAUAAAAUGUUAUAAUAACCCCUAAUUUUUUCAUUAUAUGGCAUCAAAAACUUAGGUAGAGAAUCUAUUUCAUAGAUACUAUAAAUACUGUCAGUUAUUUAUUGCUCCAAAAACAAACCAACAAAAAACCUCAAUAACAACUAGUAGCUUAAAACAAUACACAUUUAUCAUCACAGUCUCUAUGGGUCAGAAAUUUAGGAGCAACUUAGCUGGAUGAUGCUCAGAGUCAAUCAUGAGUUUGCAGUCAGGUUGUUGGCCUGGACCACGGUCAUCUAUAGUAUGACCAGGGCUAGAGGAUCCACUUCCAAGGUGAAUCUCAUAUCGUUACUGGCAGGAGGCCUUAGCUCUGUUGGCAUUGUUGGUGGAAAGACUCAUUUCUUCCCCACGUAGUGUUGCUGGAAUGUCCUUAGGAUAGGACCACAGUUGACCCAGAGAGCAGGAGAUUUGAGAGAGGACAAAGAGGAAACCCAGUGACUCUUGUGACUUAGUGUUGGAAGCCAUAUACCAUCACUUCUGCCAUAUUCUAUUUGCUAGAAAUGUCAUCACAGACAGCUGCACUCAAGGAGGGAAUCAAGCUCCACAUUUUAAAAGGAGUAUCAAGAAUUUUUGAACACAUUUCAGAAUCAUGACAAUAUAUCCAUCUACUUGCUACUCACCAUUCCAUUGUUUUGAAGGAAUUCCAGACAACACAUGAAAUUAUUUAUUAUCCCUAAAUCCUUAAAAAUACCCAAACUGCAAUUUCAUUCUUAACUGAAAAAGAUAAUUUUUAAUAUCAUCAAACAGCCCACAUUAUCAAAUUUAUUUGAUUUUUUUCAUAAUGUUUUUUAUAAUUUGUUUAGUUUGAAUCAUAAUCCAAACAAGGACAAUUUAAUAAUUUUUUGAAGUGCUGUUAAAUCCUCCUUUCAUCAUCCAAUUUGAAAUAUACUUACAACCAGACAAAAAUGUAAGAUGGGGUUCUGUUUAAGUGGCCUCUUGAAUGAUAGGCAUUUACUGCUUUAUUUUUACAUCGCUUAUUGUUCUUUUCAUGAGGAAUACUCGAGAAGCAAGGAGCAGAUUUUCCUAGGUUACCUUUGAACCUGGAAUUUGUGUUACAGCUUUGGUUAUAUUCCUAAUAAGCCACAGGUGUACACUACAGGAGCGAGUGGAAACGAAGACAGGGAUAUGAUGACAGUUAAUUGUCCAUAAUCUAUUUAUCCUGAGGAGCACUUAUGCAUCUGUUACAUAUUUAGGUAUUUGCUACUUGUAGGUUUUUUUCAUGAUUUUUAAGCUGAGAGGCAUCUAUACCUAAAGCACCAUAAAAAGGAAAAAUGCUACCAAGGGGCCUUAAAGUAGCAAGACAAAGAAAGUACAGCUUUUUGUAUCUUGGAAAUGAAUGGCUCCAUUCAUUUCAAUAGGGAUUUUGUUUUAUAUGUACUGUAUUAGGUUUGGGCACUAAACACUUGACUCCCAUUGCAGAAGGAAUUAUUUUGUUAAAUGCAGGUAAUUUAAAUUGGAUAAAUUACUAAAUUCUUCAAUAAGCACCUUUAUUUUGAAUAAUUUAUAGUUAUCUUCUGUUUUUUACAUGUGUAUAUAUGUACAUAUGUAUGUGUUAUACAUAUAUGUGAACAUGUACAUGCCAUUUAAAUAUAAAUAUGUUAAAUUUAUAUAUCAAAAUAGCUCAUGAAAUUUGUUCUGCACUCUAUUUUUAUUAUAUUUUAAACUAAUUUUGAUUUUAGAUCCCAGUUUGCAAUAGUAAAUUUUUAAGUAUAAUUAUAGUUAAUCUUGCAUAAAAGAUAUUCUUAAUGUAAAAUAUUCAAAACUAAAGAACUGAAAAGUUUACAGUUUAUAACAUAGCUGCAUAUGAGACAUUUAAGAUUUAGUCAUAUACUGAAAAUUAUGUAGCAAUAUCUUAAACAUUAUUUGCAGGUGAUUGCUUGUUCAAUCAAUGGCAUAACACUUUUUCAUUAAAAUACUAAAUAUUUUUUCUGAUACUGAAUUUUCACUCUAAACAUUUUACAUUAAUAAAUGCUAAAUUUAUAAAUUGAUGCAUUAUCAAUUACUGUAUGAAUUGGCACAGUUUACUACACAAACUUCACAGACAAACUUUCUGUAGCUGACUUUUGCCUGUUAUUUGAUGAAAUGAUAAAAAUAUAGUUACUAGCAAAUUCAAACUACUGUUCAACUUUAUUUCACAAAGCACAACCAUUUAAACCAAGUAACGUACACAAACAAGUCUAUUUGCAACUGGCAUUAAACUUUGAGAGCAGUUGACUUUGUUAUCUAGAUCCAAUUUUUAAUGCUUACUGUUAAGUUUCCUUUCUUUCUUUUUUUAAUUUUCAAACCACCAGAGGAUGAUUUCCUUAAGAAUGUUCUCCCAGGUAUGUUCAGAAUAUUAAUUAGGCCCAUCUAUUUCUGUGGCGUAAUAACAAUGUCAGAGACUGAAUGGACGCUGUGACCUGUGAAAGAACUAUUCAUAUGCUUUCGUCUGCCCCAGCGCAUUCUUUAACAAGUGAACAUAGACCUUUUUCACAGUCAUCUUAAAUGUUUCAACUCUGUGUUUCAUGUUUGGUUCUUGAAUCUCCAACCAUACAGCUUUUCUGCCUCUUCUGGGGAAGACUUCCUUGCUCUACUCAUUUAAACGCUUCUGCCUUUAUGACUAUUUUACUGCCAUACCUAGGGGGCUUCUUACUGUAUUUGCCUGUAACUGAAGGAGAUUUUAAAGGAAUUAAAUUUAUUCAGAUUAAAUCUUCUGGGGGAUGCAAAGGCAUCUUAAACAAUUAGCAAUAAUUAAAAAGCAUCUAUUCAGACUGGAUAAAAGCUCCUCCUAGUAGAAACAAGACCUUCUUCCCAGCUCCCUGAAUUCCACCUCGGGGAAGUACAUGACAGUGAUUAUGCUUAAUGUAGACUGCCAUUUUAGAAGAAGUGGACAGAAUAAGACGGGUCCUGAUUGCUCCUCUACUCCCCUUCCACUUGAAGACUCUGACCAGAAAUCUGGGCCUCAAUCUGAUGUCAUUGUGCAGGAUCCAACCACAGUGAUGGCCUCAGUUGGUUCAGAGAGAGAAGACAACACCCUGGAGAACACUGAAGGAUGACGUGGGAGGACCAGGAUCGAGGCUUUAAAAUGAAUAAAUAUGAAGAAACUCAGAAUGAAUGAAGCUAAAUAUCUUGCCUCAUGGAUAUUUUCUUUUCUCUGAAGUCUGAAAUCUUAGAGUUCAUUUUGAUGUUGGCCUUUCUGGACUGAUAUUGGCAGAAUGAAGCUUGGUGCACAUAUCUUGCUGACUUCAAAGAACACUCCAUUGAUGUAAACUAAAAAUGCCUUUUGAAGUAUACCUUAAAAACCAUGAUUAAUAAUAACUGUAUAGACACUUUUUGUAUGUUGGUACAAUAAUUUAUUUAACAUUUGUUAUUUAAAAUUUAUGUCAUAAAAAUUCAUGAUUAACUCCAUUUUUUGCUAUUAUAUAUAAGGCUGUGACUGGCAUUUUUGUACAUGGAUAUUGGUCCAAGUAACUAAUUAGUGCUUCAGGAUGCAUUUGUAGAAACUGAAUUAUAGUUUAUAGACCAUGUAAAUCCACAUUACUAGUUAAAAGGGUAAAAGUUUAUAAAAAUAUUAGAAGGUAUGAAAAAGUUUAUUUCACCAGUCAUCAAUAAUUUGUCAAUUUGUUAGGUUAAAAUUGUAUCUUCAUUUUAAUAAAGAUUUCUCUGAUGAAGAAAGAAGUUGAAUUUAAUCAUAUUUUAUUUGUGUUUUGAAUGUCUUCUAGCUGGAAUUAUCUUUUUUAAAAAAUUAUUUUUUAAGUUAUUUUUCACCCUCAGAGCACCCCAAAUGUUUUCAGUCUUCCUAUCUCACUUAAUGGCACUUCCACCCAUCCAAGUCCUAUGCAAUGAACCCAUGACUCUUCCUUUUUUUUCGGCUGCAUCCAUGGCAUGCAGAACUUCCCCACAUGUUCAUUGUAGCUCUAUUCACAAUAGCCAAGACAU